AUACGAAGGGGGCUAGCGUUGUUCGGAAUUACUGGGCGUAAAGCGCACGUAGGCGGAUUGAUAAGUUAGGGGUGAAAUCCCGAGGCUCAACCUCGGAACUGCCUUUAAUACUGUUAGUCUCGAGUCCGGAAGAGGUGAGUGGAAUUCCUAGUGUAGAGGUGGAAUUCGUAGAUAUUAGGAAGAACACCAGUGGCGAAGGCGGCUCACUGGUCCGGUACUGACGCUGAGGUGCGAAAGCGUGGGGAGCAAACAGGAUUAGAAACCCUAGUAGUCC
rnacentral:rRNA from 1 species